GAUGAACGCUGGCGGCGUGCCUAAUACAUGCAAGUCGAGCGAACGGACGAGGAGCUUGCUUCUCUGAUGUUAGCGGCGGACGGGUGAGUAACACGUGGAUAACCUACCUAUAAGACUGGGAUAACUUCGGGAAACCGGAGCUAAUACCGGAUAAUAUUUUGAACCGCAUGGUUCAAAAGUGAAAGACGGUCUUGCUGUCACUUAUAGAUGGAUCCGCGCUGCAUUAGCUAGUUGGUAAGGUAACGGCUUACCAAGGCAACGAUGCAUAGCCGACCUGAGAGGGUGAUCGGCCACACUGGAACUGAGACACGGUCCAGACUCCUACGGGAGGCAGCAGUAGGGAAUCUUCCGCAAUGGGCGAAAGCCUGACGGAGCAACGCCGCGUGAGUGAUGAAGGUCUUCGGAUCGUAAAACUCUGUUAUUAGGGAAGAACAUAUGUGUAAGUAACUGUGCACAUCUUGACGGUACCUAAUCAGAAAGCCACGGCUAACUACGUGCCAGCAGCCGCGGUAAUACGUAGGUGGCAAGCGUUAUCCGGAAUUAUUGGGCGUAAAGCGCGCGUAGGCGGUUUUUUAAGUCUGAUGUGAAAGCCCACGGCUCAACCGUGGAGGGUCAUUGGAAACUGGAAAACUUGAGUGCAGAAGAGGAAAGUGGAAUUCCAUGUGUAGCGGUGAAAUGCGCAGAGAUAUGGAGGAACACCAGUGGCGAAGGCGACUUUCUGGUCUGUAACUGACGCUGAUGUGCGAAAGCGUGGGGAUCAAACAGGAUUAGAUACCCUGGUAGUCCACGCCGUAAACGAUGAGUGCUAAGUGUUAGGGGGUUUCCGCCCCUUAGUGCUGCAGCUAACGCAUUAAGCACUCCGCCUGGGGAGUACGACCGCAAGGUUGAAACUCAAAGGAAUUGACGGGGACCCGCACAAGCGGUGGAGCAUGUGGUUUAAUUCGAAGCAACGCGAAGAACCUUACCAAAUCUUGACAUCCUUUGACAACUCUAGAGAUAGAGCUUUCCCCUUCGGGGGACAAAGUGACAGGUGGUGCAUGGUUGUCGUCAGCUCGUGUCGUGAGAUGUUGGGUUAAGUCCCGCAACGAGCGCAACCCUUAAGCUUAGUUGCCAUCAUUAAGUUGGGCACUCUAAGUUGACUGCCGGUGACGAACCGGAGGAAGGUGGGGAUGACGUCAAAUCAUCAUGCCCCUUAUGAUUUGGGCUACACACGUGCUACAAUGGACAAUACAAAGGGCAGCGAAACCGUGAGGUCAAGCAAAUCCCAUAAAGUUGUUCUCAGUUCGGAUUGUAGUCUGCAACUCGACUACAUGAAGCUGGAAUCGCUAGUAAUCGUAGAUCAGCAUGCUACGGUGAAUACGUUCCCGGGUCU
rnacentral:rRNA from 1 species